CAGAGGGUGCAAACGUUGUUCGGAAUUACUGGGCGUAAAGCGCGUGUAGGCUGCUUUGCAAGUCGGAUGUGAAAGCCCCGGGCUCAACCUGGGAAGUGCACUCGAAACUGCAGAGCUCGAGUCCUGGAGAGGAAGGCGGAAUUCUCGGUGUAGAGGUGAAAUUCGUAGAUAUCGAGAGGAACACCGGUGGCGAAGGCGGCCUUCUGGACAGUGACUGACGCUGAGACGCGAAAGCGUGGGGAGCAAACAGGAUUAGAUACCCUGGUAGUCCACGCCGUAAACGAUGGGUGCUAGGUGUCGCGGGCUUUGACCCCUGCGGUGCCGCAGCUAACGCAUUAAGCACCCCGCCUGGGGAGUACGGCCGCAAGGCU
rnacentral:rRNA from 1 species